GAAAUGCGAUAAGUAAUGUGAAUUGCAGAAUUCAGUGAAUCAUCGAAUCUUUGAACGCACAUUGCGCCCGCCAGCACUCUGGCGGGCAUGCCUGUUCGAGCGUCAUUUCAACCCUCAGAACCCCUUGCGGGAUCUGGCGUUGGGGAUUGGCAUCCAGCCAGCCCCGAAAUCUAGUGGCGGUCCCUCCGCGACCUCCCCUGUGCAGUAGCGAUACCUCGCAGCGGGACAGCGGUCUGACCACGCCGUAAAACCCCCAACUUCUCAAGGUUGACCUCGAAUCAGGUAGGAAUCCCCGCUGAACUUAAGC
rnacentral:misc_RNA from 1 species